rnacentral:sRNA from 1 species
CCAUAGCCCCGAUAGUAGCGGCAUCCUUUUUUGCUAGGGAAAAGCUUUGGCAAAAAAGAUAUAGCGGAUAGCGGGAUUAAGC